AACGAACGCUGGCGGCGCGCUUAACACAUGCAAGUCGAACGAGAAGGCGUAGCAAUACGCUUGUACAGUGGCGAACGGGUGAGUAAUACGUGGGCGACCUACCCUCGAGUGGGGAAUAACCCGCCGAAAGGCGGGCUAAUGCCGCGUACGCUUCCAUCUUUAUGGAGGUGGAAGGAAAGCCGUGCCGUGGGCACGGCGCUCAAGGAUGGGCUCACGUCCUAUCAGCUUGUUGGUAGGGAACAGCCUACCAAGGCUCCGACGGGUAGCUGGUCUGAGAGGACGAUCAGCCACACUGGCACUGCGACACGGGCCAGACUCCUACGGGAGGCAGCAGUGAGGAAUAUUGCGCAAUGGGCGAAAGCCUGACGCAGCGACGCCGC
rnacentral:rRNA from 1 species